GACGAACGCUGGCGGCGUGCCUAAUACAUGCAAGUAGAACGCUGAAGGAGGAGCUUGCUUCUCUGGAUGAGUUGCGAACGGGUGAGUAACGCGUAGGUAACCUGCCUGGUAGCGGGGGAUAACUAUUGGAAACGAUAGCUAAUACCGCAUAAUAGUAGAUGUCGCAUGACAUUUGCUUAAAAGGUGCAAUUGCAUCCCUACCAGAUGGACCUGCGUUGUAUUAGCUAGUUGGUGAGGUAACGGCUCACCAAGGCAACGAUACAUAGCCGACCUGAGAGGGUGAUCGGCCACACUGGGACUGAGACACGGCCCAGACUCCUACGGGAGGCAGCAGUAGGGAAUCUUCGGCAAUGGACGGAAGUCUGACCGAGCAACGCCGCGUGAGUGAAGAAGGUUUUCGGAUCGUAAAGCUCUGUUGUAAGAGAAGAACGAGUGUGAGAGUGGAAAGUUCACACUGUGACGGUAUCUUACCAGAAGGGGACGGCUAACUACGUG
rnacentral:rRNA from 1 species